rnacentral:sRNA from 1 species
CACUGACCUAGAUUCCUGUAGAAUUUGAAUUUAUUAACAAACUUGAUGACCAAACCUACUGCAGACCCUGGCUUAAAGCCACACCUUGCAAGUCUAUCAUUGAAGCUGGUGUGUGUUGUGAGGUCCAAAUAGAAGUGUAUGUAGACAAGUCCACAGCAGCUAAACUCAACUCUGGGGAAGAGAAACUGGAAGACAUCUUAGUGUUACAUCUGACUAAUGGGAAAGAUUCUUUUAUCACAGUCAGUGGUAACUAUAUGACCAGCUCAUUUGGAUCAUCCAUAGAAGCUUUAAUCCAGAUGCAUGGGCCUAUCAGAGAAGUUCCUGUAGCCGAGCUGAUUGAAAUAGAGCAACCAGGGAGUCUAAGCCGAGUGGACAUUACCAAAGAUGGUGGGAGACUUUACAUGGUGCCUAAGGAGAUAUGGAAGAUGGUGGAUUUCUUACAUAAAUAUGCCAUGAAUAAGGUUCUGUUUAUCAGCCAUUUUUUUUCG